AAAUAAGAAGCAAUUUGCAUUUAAUUUCGACUUAAAAGAUAGGGUAUUUACCCCUUAUUUU
rnacentral:tRNA from 1 species